rnacentral:rRNA from 1 species
AGUGAACGCUGGCGGUAGGCCUAACACAUGCAAGUCGAACGGCAGCACAGGAGAGCUUGCUCCCUGGGUGGCGAGUGGCGGACGGGUGAGGAAUACAUCGGAAUCUACUCUGUCGUGGGGGAUAACGUAGGGAACCUUACGCUAAUACCGCAUACGACCUACGGGUGAAAGCAGGGGACCUUCGGGCCUUGCGCGAUUGAAUGAGCCGAUGUCGGAUUAGCUAGUUGGCGGGGUAAAGGCCCACCAAGGCGACGAUCCGUAGCUGGUCUGAGAGGAUGAUCAGCCACACUGGAAUUGAGACCCGGUGCAGACUCCUACGGGAGGAAGCAGUGGGGAAUAUUGGACAAUGGGCGCAAGCCUGAUCCAGCCAUACCGCGUGGGUGAAGAGGGCCUUCGGGUUGUAAAGCCCUUUUGUUGGGAAAGAAAUCCAGCUGGCUAAUACCCGGUUGGGAUGACGGUACCCAAAGAAUAAGCACCGGCUAACUUCGUGCCAGCCGCCGCCGUAA